ensembl:lncRNA
CUGGCAGCUACAGUCUAGCAGCCUCGGAAGAUCCAAGACGUUCCAAGGUCCCCAUUACAGAGAGACUCUGAUUUGGACCCUUCCCCUUGAAUGUGUCAUUUCAUCCUCUUGUCUCAUUUCAGGACACUCAUGGGACCAUACGGGAUGGACCGCACCGUGCAUUGCGUUGACUUCUACGACUGCACCAACGGACUGGGUAUUAAAGUGAUUGGUGGUAUUAAAGAGCUAACCGGAGAAGAAUACGGAGUUUACGUCAAGAGAAUCUUACCGGGAGGUGUUGCUUACGCUGAUGGUAAUUGUUUAUUGCUUGCAUUUCGGGCCCCACAGCUUGUGGGGAUGACGUCUGGAGGGUCUCCAGAUCCUUCUCCUAAGUUGAGACAGUUCGGGAAUAGUUGCCCGUCAUUGCUCCGUGUGAUGUGCUGGUUAGAACUAGGACUGAGGAAAUCUCUCGUGUUUGAUUUCCUCAGUUUUUUCUUGAGGAAGCCUCAU